AUGGAACAAGUUGACAUUUGGGCGCCCAUCUUGGCCGAUCCUCUUCCAAGUCAACAGCCGGAGAUUAAAGUUCACUCAACAUAUGUGGAUUAUGGCACCAUUGACUUUCAAGCACUCUUAGAAGGACCCCAUGAUUUGGAUAGAUGGCUGAAAGGUGCAUUCAUUCCUACUUAUAUAAAGGAGGCAAAUUUAACUCACGAGAUUGAACCAACUAGUGGUCAUGGCAUGAAAAUGCAAACACCUAUGCCCGCUCCACCGGAGGCGUUGCUUGAGAAAGAGGAGGCCCCUGCCACCACGACUCUCAACGGCGGAGGAGGAAAAGAGGCGGAGAUGAGAGAGGGAGGGGGCAUGUACCCGCCGCCUUGUCACCGGAGAAGCAGGAGGCUUGCGGCCACCGUGACACCGCCGGAGGAGGGGACCGGCGAUCUACUAGGAUAA
rnacentral:rRNA from 1 species